rnacentral:lncRNA from 1 species
CAUGGUUAAAUCACAACCUGAGAACUAUGGGUUUUUAUCCACUCAUGAUAAUAUUAAAACUAAUUUACAAGUGUUGAAUAAUUGAAAAUACAAACAAAAGACGAAGAAAACUGAGAUAUCCUUGCUCCCGGAUGUUCCUUGUGCGUAUUUUUCCUUCAAAGUGGCGUCUCCCCCUCCAAACUAGGUUUAGACUUGCUUUUAUACGAGUUGGGCGUCUUGGGUUAAAAUAACCUUGUCCCGGACGAAUUAGGAUACUUUCCCAUCUCCCAGCGCCUAGGGUAGAUUGGGGCACUAGCCCUGGCGCUGGGAUUUUUGAGGUUCUGGAAACUGGGCCGUAGGUAGCACCUCACGCUACCUGUGGUGCUACACUAUCCCAAUUUUUUAUUUUGCUUCAACUCGUGCACUUUCGUUCCACAUUGCCUCCGGAUGAUUCCUACACAUUAAAAUACCAUGAAUUAACACAAAUCAUAACAUUUCACAUAUGAAAUCCACGAAACACGAGUAAAAUGCGAGGCGAUAUACAUAAAAUAUAUAUACUAUAAGCUAAAUAUCAACACCCCACACUUAGACUCUUGCUCAUCCUCGAGCAAUGAGACUAUCAACUACACCCCAACAACGUACAAAUUUCAACUAGAGAGGAGCACUUAAAUUUUUUGUUUAAUCAUACACUCUACCCUUGACUUUGAUCGAUACCAGAAAUCAAGCACGAACAUACAAAUUUAACAUUCUUCUCGUUUUAAACAUGCCCAAGUAUAAACAUUUCAAUUCAAACAACCAAUCCAUCACCACCCUACCUCAAGAGCCAACGCGUUACCACUAAGCACCCUCAACUCGCGCACUCACCCAACAAGAGAAAUUAACAACAUUACUAAUUUGCCAUGAAAUUAUGUGCCCUCGUCAACAAACAAAAGGGUGAAUAUAGAAUAGUCCACAUAUUCAAAUAUGCCUUUGAACAUAAUUUGAGGAAAUCACACAAUUUGAACAAAAAAAAUACUUACUCUCACAAAGAAUUCAUGUGCAUCCCGUGGUCGUACCAUAAGCUUGCCCGUAAUGUACAUCUCUACUAAUCUAAGCUAGCCAAAUCUAGGAUCGAUUAGGACUUUAAGGUUGUAAUGUAGGCUAAGGGACAUGUAGGAUACAUUUAAGAAUAGUGACAAAGCCUCGUAAGCACUUUAAUACACUACACUUACAAAUCGAGUACUUAUUCUUCUUAACCAAUUCACUCGCCACAAACCAUAUACAACAUAUCCUCUUUUUUUAAUUAAGCCAUUCUAUAUUCCCACUAGAACGAUUAGUAAGAUUAGGAGGUGUGUGUUUUUCUACAUUAUUUGAACUAUUAUAUUUUUUCUUCUUUUUCUCUUUUUCUUUUUCUUUCUACACACCCUCCAUACAUUAAGGUUCAUCGGCUAGUGACCUUUUUUCCACACUUUAGUGAACCAAAAGGCCCUUCCAUGGUUCCACUCAAAAGCUACUCCCCAACCUAUCACCUUACUUCUUUUAGCGACUAAAUGCCUUAGUAUGUAAACGUUCAACAAUCUCAAAUUAAGAAUAGAAUAGGAGUACGACUUCUAAUGUGGGUGCCAAAGAAAAGGUCUAUAGGCUCAAAGAGUGUCACGACCCCAGUUCUCCCUCCGCGAACUAUCGUAAUGGCACCCGUCACACCUCCUUUUUAUUACACCCCGUAAAGGGUAUAAAUAAGUUUUUUCCAAUUUAAGUGACAAUCGAAAUGGGAUUAUUUAUUAAAAUCAGAGUCGCCACUUGAAAUAAUUUAUGGUGUUCCAAGUCACCGGUUAAAAUACCGAAUCGAGGAAAUUGACUCUAAUUACGAUCUGCGAAUACAGAAAUCCGGGUAAGGAAUUUUGUUAACCCGGGAGAAGGUGUUAGGCACUCCCAAGUUCCGUGGUUCUAACACGGUCGCUUAGCAAUUUAUACUUGGCUUAUUAAAUUGUGUAAUUACUGAUUUUAAAACCUUUGUGCAUUUACCCUUUUAAGCGCUUCAAAUCACUUGAUUAUGAAAUUACCUUGAAACGAGUCACGCGUACAUGUACUCAUUUUGCUCGACGCGUCAAGAAUCAUGUCACACGUACGUAUACACAAUUAUUCACGCUUUUGUUAUUAUUAAGAAUGUUUGGCCAAAGUUGUGCGAACGCAUACCUCGAUUUAUUUUUUUUUUAAAAAACAAUUCGUAAUUAUGUCACGCAAACGUGUAGACAGUAACGAUAAUAAUUUAAGAUUUGAGAAUGAAGCAACCAAAGAAACUAAAUAAAGAGUAGUCAAUUUCAUAAUAUCAAAUAACUUAGCAACAUAUGUAAGAAUCAUUUUGAAAUUUUGGAACUUUUCCCAAAUUAUGUUAAAUUAAUAACAACCAAUGAAAGAUUCACAUCUCAGCUAUUCAUGGAACUACAUUUCCUAUAAAUCUAAACUACUAAAGAUAACUAAAUUAUUUUAAACAAAUUAACUAAGAGCAAAAAAAAAACUUUUAUUUAUGGACUAAAGGAAACAAAACAUUCUAUGGCUAAAACUUUAAACCAAUAGACAUGACAAAACUAAUUUAUCCCACAAUGAACAGAAAGAAGAAACAUGCUCAAGCAAUCAGUCCGUAUAAACCAUAGCAUUUACUCAAACAAUCAUCAGAAUAAAUAAAAAAAUCAAACUCAUACAUUAAUCCAUGAUAUAUUCCAAUUUUUGAGUCAGAUUUUAUGGAACAGUACCUUUGAGCAUGAGGAGAGAAGCAGAUCUAAACAAACAGCAAAACAAAGUCGAACCACAACCAGAACUCGAACUCGAACCUCGAUUGCGCUUGAACAGUGGUGUAAGUGAACUAUUUGGGAUGGUUUGCGGCUAUCAGCUCUCGAAAAUACAACAAAGAGUAGAGAAAACUGUUCUUUUUGAUGAAAUUGUCAGGUGGUCAACUUGGUGUUAUUCGUUAUUCGGUCAUUUUUGCGGUUGCUGGAACGACAGUUGAUUAUGCUACCAUCAAAAUAAAACCAACCUUGAGAAGCUUCUAUAACUCUAUUGUCAAUAGGAAAGAUGAUUGGUUAAAAUUGCCCGAGUGGUCGCCAAUCAAAGUACUUGAUGAGGAAGCUUUUGCAGCAAAACGUGCUCGGGAAGAGCAAGUAUACAAAAGUGUCCACAAUCUGAACAAGGAGGAAUCUUGAUAUUUUAGUACCUUUUGCAAGAGGCGCUGCCAAAAGUUGAGAAGGAAAGGGUCUGUUUUUUGUGUUUGUUCGCUGCUCGAGGUGUGGAGAAGAUGAAGCUCAACGACUGAGGGAUCUAUUGUGUAUUGCGACUGCUCUCAUUUUUUUGGGUAGGGAUUCUUGGAUCCUUCAAGAUGAUGGCUGCUGUGUCCUUAAGGUGUAAGUCUUAUUAUAUAGGGGUAGGGAUUAGGUUAGGGGUAUGGGCCUAGGAGUUAUGAGCUUGAAAAUUAUGAACUUUGGAAUUGGGCCAAAGACUAAAAGAAAUGGACUACAAGAUUCAUAAAGACGGGGUAAACCAACCCAAAAUUAAUUCCUUCUUCUAAAAUUAUAUAUAAUUAUAAUAUAAAAAAUAUAAAACUAAUUUUAAUUAAUUGAACUAAACUAUAUUAAAAUAUGAAACUAUUUUUGUAUUUUCAAGAUUAUAUAUAAAAAUAAAAAUAAGCUACUAUUUUUGUAUAUUUUUUAUUUAAAUUUAUGAAAGAUGCGUAAACUAAAAUAUUUUUGUUAUUUUCAUUUUUAUGACGAAAUAAAGUAAAAAAGUCAAAAUUAGUUGAAUUAGCUAUAUUAGGCCUAAAUUAAAUAUUUUACGCUAAAAUAUGAAAAAUCUUGGGGAGGGUCAAAAAUCACAUGUCUACAGCUACCCAUCUUUGACUGGAAACGCGAAGAGUUUUCAGAUAAAGAAUGACUAGACAUGUUUUUUGUCCCGACCCUUAUUUAGAGAGACCGAAAGUAAGAGAAAAGAGAAAUGUGACCGAGCCCUGGUAUCUGAGCUGCCUACAUAUCCUUGGCUAUAAAGGAAUCAGGCCACGUGUAGUUCAGAGGUGAGUGAGAUGAUGGAGUAUGCCGAGGUGGAGAGCAGGUCGAGGUGCCGUUCCGCCGAGGUUCCGGUCCGCGGUCCCGUUAUUACAUCAAAAUCAAAAAUGAAAAAGACUAACUAAGCCUAUCAGCUACGAGUUACAAAAUUCCUAUCUAUAAGUCUUCUGAAGCUUGAUCUUGAGUCUUGAAUGGUUCUUCAUGCAGACUUUAGAUUUGAACCUUGGCGCUUGUUAGCUGCAGGUGCUAGCUCAUUCUUCUUCAACUUUUUGGAUCAAGACCGGACCUGUAGUGCUUGUGACUUCCACCAUGUCUUAAGCAGUUCACAUCCUCCAUCAACUUCUGCAUUUGGAUUAACUUCUUGCCUUUCUCUCUUUUUCUUUAUUGUGACUAACUUCUGUUGAUCACCUCGGACUGUUGACUCGCAUUCUUGCAGUGAGAUUCUUUGGUUACUGACUUAAAUUGUAAUCUGAGAUGUUUUCCCUUUCUCCAGGUGAACGCCUGACUACUGAACUUGAACUGUCCUCUCUUGUUACUUGACACUAUUUUCCCUUGCACCUUGAACCAUUUUCCCCUGAAACUUGAACUGUCUUCCUUCGAAACUACCUUCCCUUGAUACUCGAGUUGUCUUCCUUCAACACUGCUUUCCCUAGAAACUUGAGUUGUCUUCCCUUGUUCUCCAGGUGGGCACUUGAUUACAACAAAACAGACAAAACAAAAGAAAUUUUUUUCAGCCCCAGUUUGCACUAGGAAGAUUUGUGAGUUGUUAGCAAGAUUGUAAAUCACUUGUACUAUUGAUGUAAUGAUGAGAGUAAACUAAAGAAUAAACAAGGAAAACUUAAACUAAGCUUGACUAAAGUAAAGACUGACCCUAUUCUCCAGGCGGGCCCCCCUGAUUUCAGGAAAACUAAACAUUGAUAUUCGUAAGAAAACUAAAAAAUUGACCCAUUUUUCAAAUCCAAACUUCCUCUUUUUUUCUUUGCUUUUUUUCAAAAUAUCCUAGGAGAAAAUUCGUCAAACUAGGUUUUCUAUCUUAGGAGAAAGAUUCAUCAGACUAAGACAUUAAUCCUAGGAGAAAAUUCAUCAGACUAGGUUUUCUAUCUUUCUUUUUAUUUUUUUAUUUUUUUUAUUUUUGGUAUCUUAGGAGAAAGAUUCAUUAGACUAAGACGUUUACCCUAGGAGAAAAUUCAUCAGACUAGGUCUUCUAUCUUAGGAGAAAGAUUCAUCAGACUAAGAUUUUGAUCCUAGGAGAAAGUUUAUCAGACUAGGUUUCCUAUCUUAGGAGAAAGAUUCAUCAGACUAAGAUUGUGAUCCUAGGAGAAAAUUCAUCAAACUAGGUCCCUUUUAUUAUCUUAGGAGAAAGAUUCAUCCGACUAAGAUUUCUAUUUAUUAUCUUAGGAGAAAGAUUCACCCGACUAAGAUUUGAUCCUAGGAGAAAGAUUCAUCAGACUAGGUUGUUUAUCUUAGGAGAAAAGUUCAUCAGACUAAGAUUUUUAUCCUAGGAGAAAGUUUAUCAGACUAGGUCUUCUAUCCUAGGAGGCAAAAUGUGACGACCAAAUAACAAAAUUUUAUGCACAUGAGCAAGAUAGAAAAAGGCAAAAAUUUGAGAAACUUCUCUUUGUCGGCUCUUCUCUUCUUUUCAUUUUCAUUUUUCUUUUUUCUCUUUUUUUUUCCUUUUCUCAUUAAUUUUUUCUUUUUGAAUCACUUUCCUUGCACCGCUUCGUUCCUGUUUCAUACAAAGAAAAAUUUAUCAGUUUUGAAAAUGGUGGUCAGUUUGUGGCCUUGAGUUUUGGGCAGCUUGACUUCUGCUCAAUCAGCUUGAGUCGGUCUCAAAAGACUUUUGUUCUGCACCAACUCCUGAUUGUUUCACACCAGUUANNNNNNNNNNNNNNNNNNNNNNNNNCGGGUCAGGCUUCUCAANAUUUACAGGAAGAUCAAACGAGUACGAGUGGUACUUAGAAGAGUGGUACUGCUCUUGCUGUGUAGCAAAUUGUGACUCAUGACGAGGUUGUCCUUGACCACUGGCCCAUGCUUGACACAUUUCAGUUAUUUGCUGUCCCCAGCAGAGUCGCCAGAGCUGUCACACCUCCUUUUUAUUACACCCCGUAAAGGGUAUAAAUGAGUUUUUUCCAAUUUAAGUGACAAUCGAAAGAGGAUUAUUUAUUAAAUCAGAGUCGCCACUUGGAAUAAUUUCUGGUGUUCCAAGUCACCGGUUAAAAUCCCGAAUCGAGGAAAUUGACUCUAAUUACGGUCUGCGAAUAUAGAAAUCCGGGUAAGGAAUUCUGUUAACCCGGGAGAAGGUGUUAGGCACUCUCGAGUUCCGUGAUUCUAGCACGGUCGCUUAGCAAUUUAUACAUGGCUUAUUAAAUUGUCUAAUUACUGAUUUUAAAACCUUUGUGCAUUUACCCUUUUAACCGCUUCUAAUCACUUGAUUAUGAAAUUACCUUGAAAUGAGUCACGCGUACAUGUACUCAUUUUGCUCGACGCGUCAAGAAUCAUGUCACGCGUACGUGUACACAAUUAUUCACGCUUUUGUUAUUAUUAAGAAUGUUUGGCCGAAGUUGCGCGAACGCAUACCUCGAUUUUUUUUUAAAAUUCGUAAUUAUGUCAUGCAAACGUGUACACAAUAAUGAUAAUAAUUUAAGAUUUGAGAAUGAAGCAGCCAAAGAAACUAAAUAAAGAGUAGUCAAUUUCAUAAUAUCAAAUAACUUAGCAACAGAUGUAAGAAUCAUUUUGAAAUUUUGGAACUUUUCCCAAAUUAAGUUAAAUUAAUAACAACCAAUGAAAGAUUCACGUCUUAGCUAUUCAUGGAACUACAUUUCCUAUAAAUCUAAACUACUAAAGAUAACUAAAUUAUUUUAAGCAAAUUAACUAAGAGCAAAAAAAAAAACUUUUAUUUAUGGACUAAAGGAAACAAAACAUUCUAUGGCUAAAACUUUAAACCAACAGACAUGACAAAACUAAUUUAUCCCACAAUGAACAGAAAGAAGAAACAUGCUCAAGCAAUCAGUCCGUAUAAACCAUAGCAUUUACUCAAACACUCAUCAUAAUAAAUAAAAAAAUCAAACUCAUACAUCAAUCCAUUAUAUAUUCCAAUUUUUGAGUCAGAUUUUAUGGAAUAGUACCUUUGAGCAUGAGGAGAGAAGCAGAUCUAAACAAACAGCAAAACAAAGUCGAACCACAACCAGAACUCGAACCUCGAUUGCGCUUGAACAGUGGUGGAAGUGAACUAUUUGGGAUGGUUUGCGGCUAUCAGCUCUCGAAAAUACAACAAAGAGUAGAGAAAAUUGUUCUUUUUGAUGAAAUUGUCAGGUGGUCAACUUGGUGUUAUUCGUUAUUCGGUCAUUUUUGCGGUUGUUAGAACGACAGUUGAUUAUGCUACAAUCAAAAUAAAACCAACCUUGAGAAGCUUCUAUAACUCUAUUGUCAAUAGGAAAGAUGAUUGGUUAAAAUUGCCUGAGUGGUCGCCAAUCAAAGUACUUGAUGAGGAAGCUUUUGCAGCAAAACGUGCUCGGGAAGAGCAAGUAUACAGAAGUGUCCACAAUCUGAACAAGGAGGAAUCUUGAUAUUUUAGUACCUUUUGCAAGAGGCGCUGCCAAAAGUUGAGAAGGAAAGGGUCUGUUUUUUGUGUUUGUUCGCUGCUCAAGGUGUGGAGAAGAUGAAGCUCAACGACUGAGGGAUCUAUUGUGUAUUGCGGCUGCUCUCAUUUUUUUGGGUAGGGAUUCUUGGAUCCUUCAAGAUGAUGGCUGCCGUGUCCUUAG